rnacentral:misc_RNA from 1 species
UUUGUCUCCAAAUCCUCAUAAACUUUCUCAGCUUCAUCCAUCAUCCCAUUCCUACAGUAACAAGACAUCAAGUAAUUGUAACUGAUCGUGUCGGGUUUUAAGCCUACAUUGCUCAUUUCCUCAAUCAAAACCUUCACUCCUUCAGGAUCACCACCCUGAAAGUUCAUAAUCUUUACAUUGUAAGCACCAACAUCCGGACCGCAACCUCUCUUCGCCAUCUCAUUCCAAACCUUCUCAGCCUCAUCACACCUUCCUCCCUUGUACAAUGAGUUCAAUAUGGUUGUGAAAGUAACAGCUGUAAUUUCAACACCUUUCUCUUCCAUUUCCUUAAGUUUCUCCAUUGCCAAUUCAGGCUUCCCCAUUUCACAGUAAGACCUGAUCAAUACACCAUAUGAAACUUUGUCAGGUAAGAAUCCAUGCUUCUUUGGCAUUUCAUCAAACAGCUGGGGAACGCGAUCAUAAAAUUUGGAGUUCACACAAGCUGAAAGAAGCACGUUGAACGAAACUGCUGAUCUAGGGGUACCUAAAUCGUCCAUUUGAAGAUAAGUUUUAAGCGCCUGAUCAAACAUUCCAGCUAAUCCGUACGAACGAAUAAUAGAGGAAAGGAAGGGUUCCUGGGUAAUUUUUUUGUCAUCCUUGUGAGACUCGAGAAAGGCUUCGAUGUCGGAGAAACGAUGGGAUUUAGCGAGGCGUUUGACUGUGUAUUCUUGUGCAUAACGGGAGGAUAAAGGGGAAGUGUAAUGGUUAGAAACAGAGGAGUAAAUCUUUAGUGCUUUGUCUGGAUCGUGCUCAGACUUUAGCUUGGAUUUUGCUUUGGAGAUAGAGAUGGUCGCGCCGGCUAUUGAAGAAGCAGCGGCGGUGGCGGUGGUGGCGGCGGCGUCGGCCGAGGUUGAGAGGUGGCGCGCCAGGCGCAGGGAAAUGGAAGAAGACAUUAGGGUUUUAGCCGGUUUUGGGUAAACAAUGAAAGGUUUUAGGACGGCGGAAGGUUGCUG